GAUCUCUACUGAUUGGGCCGGCUCCUUCUGGAUGUCUACAUUACAGCUAUAACAUUGUCUCAAAUGCUAUCUAUACUAGUAUUAGAUCUCUCUGUAUCUUGAUUUUUGUCUGCAUCUAUAAGAUUUGGGAUUAUGAUCUUAUGUUGAUUUUUGCUUGUGUUAUGUUGCAGCCAUAGGACUUGGUAAUUUUUGUUCUAGUUAAGUGAAAGGUUUGCAUAAAUUUCUUACUUUUUAGUUGUAUUUUUGGGAAUUUUGUGUUUUAAUGAAGAUCUUCUGCAGGUUAGUAACUGUUUGGUUUGCUUAAAUUUCAUGGUAAUGUGAAGUUGGCGUAGUUUCGCAUAUAUUGGAAGAUAUUAGGCUAUGUUGAGUACAGUCGCAAACCUGAGUGUUUUUAUCAUUUAGAGGGAGGAGAAGUCGUAACAAGGUUUCCGUAGGUAAACCUGCGGAAGGAUCAUUGUCGAAACUUGUCAAAAACAGAAAGAAUCGCGAACAAAUGAUCACCACUCGCGGUGGGCUGGAUCCCUCUCGAAAAUAUCGCUGCUGUGAUCGUGGUCUGUAGCACGCACUUUAACGGUGUGCCUCGGCAUCUGCGUGCUCUGGGCAUCGGUAUGUGGGCUCCCCAUUCGACCAGUCUUGAAACAUGGACCAAGGAGUCUGACAUGUGUGCGAGUCAAUGGGUGAGUAAACCUGUAAAGCGCAAGGAAGCUAAUUGGCAGGAUCCCUCGCGGGUGCACCACCGACCGACCUUGAUCUUCUGAGAAUGGUUCGAGUGUGAGCAUACCUGUCGGGACCCGAAAGAUGGUGAAUUAUGCCUAAGCGGAGCAAAGCCAGAGGAAACUCUGGUGGAAGCCCGCAGCGAUACUGAUGUGCAAAUCGUUCGUCUGACUUGGGUAUAGGGGCGAAAGACUAAUCGAACCAUCUAGUAGCUGGUUCCUUCCGAAGUUUCCCUCAGGAUAGCUGGAGCUCGGACGCGAGUUCUAUUGGGUAAAGCCAAUGAUUAGAGGCAUCGGGGCCGCAACAUCCUCGACCUAUUCUCAAACUUUAAAUAGGGAGGACGGGGGCGGCUGCUUUGUUGUGUCAUCCCACAGAAACGAGAGCUCCAAGUGGGCCAUUUUUGGUAUGCAGAACUGGCGAUGCGGGAUGAACCAGAAGCCGGGUUACGGUGCCCAACUACAUGCUAACCAAGAACCCACAAAGGGUGUUGGUCGAUUAAGACAGCAGGACGGUGGUCAUGGAAGUCGAAAUCCGCUAAGGAGUGGGUAACAACUCACUUGCCGAAUCAGCUAGCCCCGAAAAUGGAUGGUGUUGAAGCGCGCGACCUAUACCCGGCCAUCAGGGCAAGAGCCAAGCCUCGAUGAGUGGGAAGGUGCGGUGGUCGCUGCAAAACCUAGGGCGCGAGCUCGGGCAGAGCGGCCAUCGAUUCAGAUCUUAGUAGUAGUAGCAAAUAUUCAAAUGAGAACUUGGAAGGCCGAAGAGGGGAAAGGUUCCAUGUGAACGGCACUUGCACAUGGGUUAGUCAAUCCUUAGAGUCGGGGGAAACCCGUCUGAUAGUGCCAAUGCUCGAACUUUGACAGGGGAUCCGCGUGGCAGCCAGGGGACGGACUGGGAACGGUUCUCUCGGGAGCUUUCCCCCCGGGCGUCGAACAGUCAGCUCAGAACUGGUACGGACAAGGGGAAUCCGACUGUUUAAUUAAAACAAAGCAUUGUGAUAGUCCCUAUGACUCUGACUCUGCCCAGUGCUCUGAAUGUCAAAGUGAAGAAAUUUAACCAAGCGCGGGUAAACGACGGGAGUAACUAUGACUCUCUCAAGGUAGCCAAAUGCUUCGUCAUCUAAUUAGUGACGUGCAUGAAUGGAUUAACGAGAUUCCCACUGUCCCUGUCUACUAUCCAGCAAAACCAUAGCUAAGGGAACGGGCUUGGCAAAAUCAGCGGGGAAAGAAGACCCUGUUGAGAGGUGUAGGAUAAGUGGGAGCUUCGGCGCAAGUGAAAUACCACUACUUUUAACGUUAUUUUAUUUACUCCGUGAAUCGGAGGCAGGGUACAACCCCUGUUUUUGGACCCAAGGCUCGCUUCGGCGGGUCGAUCCGGACAGAGGACAUUGUCAGGUGGGGAGUUUGGCUGGGGCGGAACAUCUGUUAAAAGAUAACGCAGACGUCCUAAGAUGAGCUCAACGAGAACAUAAAUCUCGUGUGGAACAAAAGGGUAAAAGCUAGUUUGAUUCUGAUUUUCAGUACGAAUACGAAAGGUGAAGGCGUGGCUUAUCGAUCCUUUAGACCUUUGGAAUUUGAAACUAGAGGUGUCAAAAAAGUUACCACAGGGAUAACUAGCUUGUGGCAGCCAAGCGUUCAUAGCGACGUUGCUUUUUGAUCCUUAGAUGUCGGCUCUUCCUAUCAUUGUGAAGCAGAAUUCACCAAGUGUUGGAUUGUUCACCCACCAAUAGGGAACUUGAGCUGGGUUUAGACCGUUGUGAGAUAGGUUAGUUUUACCCUACUAAUGCCUAUGUCAUGAUAGUAAUUAACAUAGUACGAGAGGAACCGUUGAUUCGCAUAAUUGUUCAUCGCACUUGGUUGAAAAGCCAGUGGCGCGAAGCUACCGAGCGGCGGAUAGAAUCUUUUGCAGAUGACUUAAAUACGUGAUGGGGUAUUGUAAGUAGCAGAGUGGCCUUGCUGCCACAAUCUACUGAGAUUCAGCCCUUUUCGCUAAGAUUCGACCCUCCCCAAAACCUCUUAAUAUAAAACUAGCCCCAAAAAACCGCACAAGUGUUCAUAGC
rnacentral:rRNA from 1 species